AAUCACGUAACUUACAAGUGUUCUUCAAAGAGGAGACGACAUAUACAACUGUCGAAAAAGCUUCUUUUCCAUUACAACGAAUUCACUUUCCAAAUCUCUUAGAGCAUCAUUAUCGGGGUUUUGGUGCUUCUGCUCCUGUCUCAGAACUCUUAAAAAAGUUCAAAAGGCCUUGUUGCAGUCUGAUGUUCAAUCAAAAUCUGAUAAAAGUCCAGUGACUGUUACUGAUUAUGGUUCACAAGCAGUUGUUAGUUUACUCUUACAAAGGGAACUCAGCUCUGAACCCUUUUCAUUGGUGGCUGAAGAGGCGAAUAAAAACUUUAUGACUCAGCGGAUCUACGCAAGGAUGGUUCUCAGGAUAUUCUCGAGCGCAUCACUAAACUCGUCAACGACACUUUGGCUACUGAGGAUAUACUCAAACCCAUUGACUCUACUUUAUCAACAGAUGAUAUUCUCAGAGCCAUUGACUGUGGCAUAAAGGUGCGCGUUCCUUUUCUCUUCUGAUUUACUUCAAAUCGUAUUUCAAAAAAAAAUGUGUUGUGCUGUAAUGCAUUUUUGUGCGAUGUUAUUUUUCUCAACGGAUUGGUGUGGGGUUAUAGAGAAAGUCUUGUUUGGAGCUAGAGCUUACAUAUUUGCAGAGAUUUCUCUCU